GAGAAAUAGGAUCAUCUUCCAGAGACGAAGAUAAUGACUCUUCAGACGAUGGAUCAGGAUCGUCGAGGCAUCAAGAUCGCACACAGCGACAGACAACACCUGAUAAUCCACCUUGAUGGUUUAUAUUUUGAUUCUCAUGCUGUAAGGAUGGUUGGUUAAACAGGUUUGCUCAAUCUGUGUGGCAGCAGGUAUCAAUUUCCCACAAUUUCCCACAUGGAAAGAAAGAUGGAGGCUGUUCCUUGCUGCCUUUAUCAUGUGUUCCGUUGAUUCUGGAUCAAUUCUGGAAAUGGUAAAUUCAGCCUGGACCAUCCAUCUUCUAUGUCAGCUCCUUGGAUAUCCAGCCUCAAACAAACAAACACAAAAGGAGAUUCUUGUUUUGAUGAUGGAUAUAAUGGAAUAACUAAACAAACAACAUUUGGCGGUGUAUCUUCCUACACACUGGUUCAACAAUGUAUACUUGAAUCAUGAAAGAUCACCCAAAAUGUUAAAAGGGUCGGGAUGACUUCUAACCGGUGAGAUUUUAUCGGUUGGUUAAUUAAGCAAUAAUCUAAGUAAGUUGUAGUUCAGGCGGAUGUUCAAACUUCUAACUUAUUAGGUAAAAUCAUAUAUUACAAAAAAAAAAAAAAAAAAAACUAUGCUUUACUAAUGCAUUUGAAGGAUUGUUUAAAGUUCAUUCCUGCCCACCAAUCAAGGAGUGUCACAUGAUUAUAUACAUAUUC